rnacentral:rRNA from 1 species
AUUGAACGCUGGCGGCAUGCUUUACACAUGCAAGUCGAACGGUAGAGGGGGCAACCCCUUGAGAGUGGCGAACGGGUGAGUAAUGCAUCGGAACGUGCCCAGUCGUGGGGGAUAACGCAGCGAAAGCUGUGCUAAUACCGCAUACGAUCUCUGGAUGAAAGCGGGGGACCGAAAGGCCUCGCGCGACUGGAGCGGCCGAUGUCAGAUUAGGUAGUUGGUGGGGUAAAGGCUCACCAAGCCAACGAUCUGUAGCUGGUCUGAGAGGACGACCAGCCACACUAGGAAGGAGACACGGCCCAGAUGCCUACGGGAGUCAGAAGUGGGGAAUAUUAGAGAAUGGGCGCAAGCCUGAUCCAUCAAUGCCGCGUGCAGGAAGAAGGCCUUCGGGUUGUAAACUGCUUUUGUACGGAACGAAAAGGUCUGGGUUAAUACCCUGGGCACAUGACGGUACCGUAAGAAUAAGCACCGGCUAACUACGUGCCAGCAGCCGCGGUAA